GACGCUGGCGGCGUGCUUAACACAUGCAAGUCGAACGAUGAAGAGCAGCUUGCUGCUUGGAUUAGUGGCGCACGGGUGAGUAAUAUAUAGGUAAUGUGCCUCUUAGUCUGGGAUAGCCAUUGGAAACGAUGAUUAAUACUGGAUACUCCUUCUAACUCUAAUGUUAGUCGGGAAAGUUUUUCGCUAAGAGAUCAGCCUAUAUCCCAUCAGUUAGUUGGUAAGGUAACGGCUUACCAAGGCAAUGACGGGUAGCGGGUUUGAGAGGAUGAUCCGCCACACUGGUACUGAGACACGGACCAGACUCCUACGGGAGGCAGCAGUGAGGAAUAUUGCACAAUGGGGGAAACCCUGAUGCAGCAACGCCGCGUGGAGGAUGACGCAUUUCGGUGUGUAAACUCCUUUUAUAUGUCAAGAAAAUGACGGUAGCAUAUGAAUAAGCACCGGCUAACUCCGUGCCAGCAGCCGCGGUAAUACGGAGGGUGCAAGCGUUACUCGGAAUCACUGGGCGUAAAGGACGCGUAGGCGGAUUGGAAAGUCAGAUGUGAAAUCCUACAGCUUAACUGUAGAACUGCAUUUGAAACUUCUAAUCUAGAGUAUGGGAGGGGGAGAUGGAAUUAGUGGUGUAGGGGUAAAAUCCGUAGAUAUCACUAGGAAUACCGAAAGCGAAGGCGAUCUCCUGGAACAUUACUGACGCUAAGGCGUGAAAGCGUGGGGAGCAAACAGGAUUAGAUACCCUGGUAGUCCACGCCCUAAACGAUGAACACUAGUCGUCGGGAUGCUUGUCAUCUCGGUGAUGCACUUAACAGAUUAAGUGUUCCGCCUGGGGAGUAC
rnacentral:rRNA from 1 species